rnacentral:rRNA from 1 species
CAGUAGCCGCGGGAAUACGUAGGGCGCAAGCGUUAUCCGGAAUUAUUGGGCGUAAAGAGCUCGUAGGCGGUUUGUCGCGUCUGCCGUGAAAGUCCGGGGCUCAACCCCGGAUCUGCGGUGGGUACGGGCAGACUAGAGUGAUGUAGGGGAGACUGGAAUUCCUGGUGUAGCGGUGAAAUGCGCAGAUAUCAGGAGGAACACCGAUGGCGAAGGCAGGUCUCUGGGCAUUAACUGACGCUGAGGAGCGAAAGCAUGGGGAGCGAACAGGAUUAGAUACCCCUGUAGUCCCUGUCUCUUAUAC